CUACGGGGGGCAGCAGUGAGGAAUAUUGGGCAAUGGAGGCAACUCUGACCCAGCCAUGCCGCGUGCAGGAAGACGGCCCUCUGGGUCGUAAACUGCUUUUGUUUGGGAAUAAACCCUUCUACGUGUAGGAGGCUGAAGGUACCAUUCGAAUAAGGAUCGGCUAACUCCGUGCCAGCAGCCGCGGUAAUACGGAGGAUCCAAGCGUUAUCCGGAUUUAUUGGGGUUAAAGGGUCCGUAGGCGGGUCUUUAAGUCAGUGGUGAAAGCCCACAGCUCAACUGUGGAACUGCCAUUGAUACUGGAGAUCUUGAGUGUAGUAGAAGUAGGCGGAAUAGGGCAUGUAGCGGUGAAAUGCAUAGAUAUGCCCUAGAACACCGAUUGCGAAGGCAGCUUACUAUGUUACAACUGACGCUGAGGGACGAAAGCGUGGGGAGCAAACAGGAUUAGAUACCCGUGUAGUC
rnacentral:rRNA from 1 species